rnacentral:tRNA from 1 species
GGAGUUGUGGCUCAGUGGCAGAGUGCUCACCUGGUAUGUGUGAGGUACUGGGUUCAAUCCUUAGCACCA